GAUGAAACGCUGGCGGUCUGCUUAACACAUGCAAGUCGAACGAACUCUUCGGAGUGAGUGGCGGACGGGUGAGUAACGCGUGAGAAUCUGGCUGUGGGUCGGGGACAACCACUGGAAACGGUGGCUAAUACCGGAUGAGACUUCGAAGCCCUCGGGCUUUGCGGAAAAAGAUGGCCUCUUCUUGAAAGCUAUCGCCUGUGGAUGAGCCCGCGUCUGAUUAGCUUGUUGGUGAGGUAAAGGCUCACCAAGGCGACGAUCAGUAGCUGGUCUGAG
rnacentral:rRNA from 1 species